rnacentral:rRNA from 1 species
CUACGGGGGGCUGCAGUGGGGAAUAUUGCACAAUGGGCGCAAGCCUGAUGCAGCCAUGCCGCGUGUAUGAAGAAGGCCUUCGGGUUGUAAAGUACUUUCAGCGGGGAGGAAGGGAGUAAAGUUAAUACCUUUGCUCAUUGACGUUACCCGCAGAAGAAGCACCGGCCAACUCCGUGCCAGCAGCCGCGGUAAUAGCGGAGGGUGCAAGCGUUAAUCGGAAUUACUGGGCGUAAAGCGCACGCAGGCGGUUUGUUAAGUCAGAUGUGAAAUCCCCGGGCUCAACCUGGGAACUGCAUCUGAUACUGGCAAGCUUGAGUCUCGUAGAGGGGGGUAGAAUUCCAGGUGUAGCGGUGAAAUGCGUAGAGAUCUGGAGGAAUACCGGUGGCGAAGGCGGCCCCCUGGACGAAGACUGACGCUCAGGUGCGAAAGCGUGGGGAGCAAACAGGAUUAGAUACCCCCGUAGUC